AAUUGUUAAAGUUGUCAUUGAUUUCAAUAUAUGUUCAAUCAUCUAUGUUGUUAAUUUGUCAUGUACAUGUUCUUGAAUCCUUAAUUUGAUCAUAUUUUAUUUUUCAUCAUGCAUGUAGAAUAAAAUAAAAUAUCAAAUUUGGUAUAAAAAUAAAUUCUAAAUAAACAAAAAUAAAAUAAUAUUUGAACUUCAAACGAGUGUCUUUGUAAAACUUACUUAAGGUUAUGAAAAUCGAACCGAUCAUUAGUACGCAGAUUACUAUCUAUCUAACAAAAUUCUGGAAACUAUCUUACUUUAGCAUAAAUAUGUGCCUAUCAAGAAUUUAAAACGCUAACAUAUAAGUUUGUUAAGAUCAUAUCAUAUCAAGCAUAAAUGGUAGAUUAAGCUUCCUGAUUCAGUUAUGGAAUCCCAAGAACUAGUUUUGCCUUAACCAUCAGUUUUUUCAGUCUUUUUUAGAGCUUCUGCUUGCAUCUCUAGGAAUAGGUUGUAUAUCCGGAAUGUACUUUAUGAUCCUUCUCCCUGUUGAAAUUGAAAUUCACAAUAAGGUAUGAGAAAGCAAGAUUUUGUAGUCAUUGCUGGUUUCCAACUUAGAAAACAAAAAGGGACCAUAAAAAAGAGGCACAAACUCUUUUCAUGUGCUUGGUAUCUCUGAUGGAGUUUCUUCUUUGAGAUUUCAAGUUUCUCAUCCAAGUCUGAUGCCUGUGGAAAGAAAAUGACACAUGGCUUUAUGUAACAUUAAAAUUCCGUUUUCUGUUUUCGCUUCUUGUAUAAAGAAAAAGACAUAGUUGUGUUCUUACUUGGCAUUUUAGAGCAGAAUUUGACCUAUCAUGAGCUUUCUUCUUGUCAUUCUUGUUCUGAGUCUUGAUGUCAUUCUCAAGUGAAUUUGUUUUCUCAUUUGGUUCCUUCAAUGCAGACUUUUGGUGCUUUAUGAUAGGGAAUGACUCUGAUAACUCUUGCCUCAGUGGCAACUCCACUUUUCUGUUGUUUUCUGUUGUUGUGGAUUUCCUCUGCCUUCCAUGAAUCAUAUCAACACCACUGCUGUUGUGUGAAGGUCUAAAAUCUCUUGAAUUGUUUGCAAUGGUGAUUUGUUGUUGCUUUCUUUUUCGGAGUUUGUUGCGGCGGAUUGAUGCUGAUCCUUCAUUGAGAAGCACACAACCUUGUUAAUGGAUUUCAAUUCAACCAGAAUGGAGGGAAACCAAUACUCUUAGGAUUGUUGACUCACUUCCAUCUUCAUCUAGUUCCUCAAAAAACUUCAACCAGGAAAGAAAGCGGAUCGUCGCGCCAUCAGGAGAAUAAUUAACGUACGGUUAGAAGUUCUGAUGGAGGCAUGGUACACACUAAAGCUCCUUCAUCCAUUGGAGGAAUAGGCAAUGCAUUUUCAUCCAAAAGGGUGGAAGAUUCAGGGCAUUCACUACUCCUUUCUGUGUAAAUUUGUGUAAACAAGGUAAUCUUAUAAUCUAGCUAGUAUCUAAUGCAAUUUAAGUGAGCUACUAUUAAUACCACUAACCUGAAAGUGCAGCAUAAUCAG